GUAUUUUGUGUUUUGACCCGAAUCGUGUAUUUUGACAAUUCUGUUCUGCCUUGCCCUCUCAUUUCAAACUGCUACUGUGUAUUAUUUAUCGGACUUCCCUAUGGACAAUGCAUUUUGGAUUCCUUUGCUGUAUGUGUUUGCUGGCUCUGACCUUGGACUGUUAUACCAACCUAUGGCCUGUCCGAUGACCACCAGCUGACAUGACCAUCGUGACUGCCUGGCUGCUCUAUGAGACUGCAGCAGCACUCGGAUGAGACAAGACGAACAGAUGAAGCUUCAUACGUUCAAGUUAUAUAUUGCAGAAAGCUUAUGCAAAAGUGACAUGAAUCUGGAGCAUAAGAAAGGUCGUCCCAGUUCCACAAUUGCUGGGGAGUAUGAAGAAAAGAGGAGAAAAGGACCCACUGCCCCCAUUCUGGUCCCUGAUGUGCGUCUGGACACCACAGCCCACUGGAUGGUCUUCGAUGAAAAGAAAGGGAGAUGCAAGAUUGUGUUCCAUUCUAGCAAAUGACACUCCACGACACCCCUGGAUCCCCUACUUGUUUUAUGCCUCAAGCCUUUUUCUCUGGUGCAUUUAGUGAAGCGUAAUUUCCACAUAGAGUUGUUUAAAUCACACAUAUCCCCUGUUACUUUAUGCUGUAAACCUAUAGCCUUUCUGUUAUGACUGAUCAAGCUUGUGUGGUGACACUGUAAAGUUGGGGAAAACCCUGUAAAAUCAAUA